GCUUUACAGUGUUCCCAUUGAUCGGCAAAAAACAAAAAAUGGUUAAUCAGUAGUAACAAUACAGCAGUCAAAAGAAAGGAACGUCAGAAGGAGGAACAUAAAGAAUAGUCCGUAUUCAUAAAGCGUCUCAAAGUAGGAGUGCUGAUCUAGGAUCAGGUUUCCCCAGUCCAUAAAAUCGUAUUGAUUGUGAUCUAAAAGGUCCAACUGAUCCUAGAUCAGCAUUCCUACUCUGGGAUGCUUUGUAAAUACGAGCCCAGAAAGGUACACCAGGUCAUCACUGCAUCUACACUCUAUUCAGGUAAGGUCAGGCGCGGUCUGGUCGAGCCGGCCGUACCUUAACCGCGUUUUAACCACGGUCAAAUCCCUCUGCCUUAUGACCACCUUUCACCUCUUUUCUGCUUGGCUGACCUCUUGCUAAGGCCUUGAGCCAAUUGAACCCGUCUCCCUUGGGUUCCCCUAGCCCUCUUCUCAUUUGCUCUUCAGUCUCAGACCCUCAACUGUCUGCGAUCGCACCCUGAUCCAUCUUCUCUGUAAUAACCCUCUCUUUUCCCUGUCACUGUUUACCUCAUUUUUCUUCCCCAGUGGCCUACUUUAAGCACCCAAGGCAUCCUCAUACAAGGUUCCCUCGCCCCUCUUAAUCAUAGCCUUAGCCUUGCCACACACUCACUCCCACACUCCUCCCCCUCUCCCUCAGGGGCGGCCCGGCUGGUUGACCUGCCUGCCUCCUCACUCCCUCAGUGUGGCUGCAUAUCAUUUCCCUGCUGCGCUUUGUGUGGGUUGGUUUCCUAGCAACAGACAGCCAUCACAGCUCAGGAUCUGAAAGUGGAGAGAAUAUGUUGCUGCUGCACACUUCUAGGGCUAGCUAAUACACUGGCUGAGUCUGAAAUGACACCCUAUUCAGUGCAGUACUUUUGACCGUACCCCUAUGAGCCAUGGUCAAAAGUAGUGCCAGGGAAUAAAGUUCCAUUUUGGACACAUCCACUAAGUGCUGUGCUACAGUGUUGGGUGCUCUCCAGCCAUUGACAGGCCACUCCCUCUCCAUCAGAACAGGACAACAGUAGGCUUUUCUCUCUGACUACUGAGGUUAAACCACACAGCACCUUGAUCCUGGGAAAGAUGGCAGUGGUCUCUGAAAGAAGUUGAAAAUGAACCAACGGUCUCUGGCUUGAACCAAAAGAAAAGAAGAAAGAAAAAAAAAACAUUUUCUCUUGAAUUGUACAUCAGCAGAGGUUCAGUGGAAUGGUAUGGAAUAGUAUUAUUAAGUUAGAGAAUCACACUAGUGGUGGUGGUUGCAUACAGUAUUUCUUCUACUUUCUAAUACUGAGUAUGCUUUACCAGAAUCAAGAAGUACUAAGACCAGACCGAACAGGGCAUAGCAUAGCAUUCCCCAUAUAAACACAGGCUUGACCCUUUUACGAAACAGAAUACAGUAAAAUGCAUUGUAGGCUAGUGACAUAACAGUGUAGUUUGUCUGUUCCUCUCUAACAACUUAAAACAGGAAAUUAAUAAUUAGCUACCUUAAGCCAUAUAGAUUGUUGGUGGGAUAUUUGAAUGUCAGCAUGUAAUUAUUACAGUACAUAAGGCUUUUGCGGAGUCUUGGUAUACUAUUACGUCAUUUAUCAAGAACACAAAUAGUAGCCUAGGCUGAG
ensembl:lncRNA